rnacentral:rRNA from 1 species
UUUUAUGAGAGUUUGAUCCUGGCUCAGGACGAACGCUGGCGGCGUGCCUAAUACAUGCAAGUCGAACGCUUCUUUUUCCACCGGAGCUUGCUCCACCGGAAAAAGAGGAGUGGCGAACGGGUGAGUAACACGUGGGUAACCUGCCCAUCAGAAGGGGAUAACACUUGGAAACAGGUGCUAAUACCGUAUAACAAUCGAAACCGCAUGGUUUUGAUUUGAAAGGCGCUUUCGGGUGUCGCUGAUGGAUGGACCCGCGGUGCAUUAGCUAGUUGGUGAGGUAACGGCUCACCAAGGCGACGAUGCAUAGCCGACCUGAGAGGGUGAUCGGCCACAUUGGGACUGAGACACGGCCCAAACUCCUACGGGAGGCAGCAGUAGGGAAUCUUCGGCAAUGGACGAAAGUCUGACCGAGCAACGCCGCGUGAGUGAAGAAG